rnacentral:rRNA from 1 species
AUUGAACGCUGGCGGCAGGCUUAACACAUGCAAGUCGAGCGGGGACUUCGGUCCUAGCGGCGAACGGGUGAGGAAUGCUUGGGAAUCUGCCUUGUAGUGGGGGAUAACGUUUCGAAAGGAACGCUAAUACCGCAUACGUCCUACGGGAGAAAGGGGGGGAUCUUUGGACCUCUCGCUGUAAGAUGAGCCCAAGUCGGAUUAGCUAGUUGGUGGGGUAAAGGCUCACCAAGGAGACGAUCCGUAGCUGGUCUGAGAGGAUGAUCAGCCACACUGGAACUGCGACACGGUCCAGACUCCUACGGGAGGCAGCAGUGGGGAAUAUUGGACAAUGGGCGAAAGCCUGAUCCAGCCAUGCCGCGUGUGUGAAGAAGGCCUUCGGGUUGUAAAGCACUUUAAGCGAGGAGGAAUGGCUCUGGGUUAAUACCCUUGAGCAGUGACGUUACUCGCAGAAUAAGCACCGGCUAACUCUGUGCCAGCCGCCGCCGUAAAAC